GCCUCUAGAACGAGAGCCGCCCCAGGUUCAGGCGGCCUGCGUCCCCGGCCACGCCGCUCUUCCUCGUGUCUCUAUGGCCCUGGGGUGGACCUGGUGUGUAUAGCCAACCCUGAAGUCACACCUCUGUGGUUCUCUUCCCCACGUGGGUUGCCUCGGGGGCCGAUGGCGUUCCAUUCGUUUUCUUAGCGCGCCGACGAGGCGCUUCCCUGCGGAAGUCCCAGGGUCGUGGCUCUUGUUCUUCUCGAGAGUGGAUAGUGUAUCGUCGUCCAGAAGGUGUUGGACUGCAGAUCCCCUUGGUGCUCGCCAGCACAGCCAAUGGACAAGCAUUGAAAAAUCUUCAGUUGUCCAGGAGGCCCUUCCUGUGCACUGUGGCUCCUUGUUGUGUCUGAACCAGUCCUAUGAUGUAUUUGCCCUCUAUUGCUAACAUGCUCCAUUAAAAACCUAAGGAAAACUGAAA